UACGUAGGUGGCAAGCGUUGUCCGGAAUUAUUGGGCGUAAAGAGCGCGUAGGUGGGACUAUAAGUCUUAUGUAAAAGUGCGGGGCUCAACCCCGUAAAGCGUAAGAAACUGUGGUUCUUGAGUGCAGGAGAGGAAAGCGGAAUUCCCAGUGUAGCGGUGAAAUGCGUAGAUAUUGGGAGGAACACCAGUGGCGAAGGCGGCUUUCUGGACUGUGUCUGACACUGAGGCGCGAAAGCUAGGGGAGCGAACGGG
rnacentral:rRNA from 1 species